UAGGCAUGCUUGGGAACUAAAAGAAAGACAAAGGAAAGCUUAGUGGGCAUGAAGGUUAGAGAGCUGAGAAGAGGCCAAGGAAGCACUGGCCAUGGUCAUGAGUUUUCACUGUUUGAAGCACAACAGGAAACCACAGAAUGUUCUGCUGGAGCAGGACACAUUCGCAUCUGUGUUUCAGGUAGUGGUCUGGCUGCUGGUGUGGGGUGGCUGGAAGGUGGUGAAGGAGGCUUUCGGGAUAGCAACAACUAAGCUAGAGAUGACGGUUCAUUUCUGCUUUCUCUGUCUCCUGUAUUGGGGGUCGGAUGACAUUUGCAUCUAUCAUGCAGUGCUGUUGGAGACGCUCUAUGUGUUACGUGAUGGCACAGUGACUAAGGGAGCCAGGAUUGCCCAUGCCAGGGCGGGCACUCCCACACCUUGCCAGGAGCGCAUUCGGGUAAGGAUCAGGUGUCCCGGCUUUUCGCUCCUGUGCCUAUGCGGUUGCAUGGCUGUGCUCCCAGACACUGCCACUGUCACCACAGAGGUUCCACUCCAAGAACAGGGCUGUCUCAUCAAGGGUAAGUCUGUUGACUGACUUGCAUAUUGUGGUGCCUCAGCCUUUCUUACCUUCUGCUAGCAAGGUCCUAAGAAACUCUAAAGAAGAGAAAGACCACAGACUUUGGAGAUAGACGCGUCUCUAGCGUACUGUGUGAACACCUUGGGUGUAUCCUUCAGUCUUUAUGAGCCUAAUGUUCCUCCUGUUUGAGAGGAACUGUUCACCAUAUUUACCGCUCUUUUGUGAUGACCGUGGGGCCAAACUAUGGCAGUGAGUGUAAAGCAAGGCCUGUCACACUGCAGCCAUCUGAUAACCCUUAGUUUCCUUCCCCAUUUUAACCACGUAAUAACUCUCCUGCCUGAUGUCACCCAGGGGGCCCAGAGUUCUUCUGCGGUAAUGAGAUCAUCACCACAUCCUCAUAUUUCACAGCUUAUUUGGGGUAAUGUGGGCAUUUUACUUAUCUCUGCUAUUCCUUCCUUGCAGGGUCUGCAGAACUGAAUUUUAGUGCCAGGAGAGUACAGCUGAGCCUAUGCAGCACAACCUGAGACCCUCUGAGUGCAGUGUGCAGACUUCUGCAGCCUCGUAUUCCCAGCACAGUUGCGUAUCCCACAUCUCCCACAUCUGACUGAAUUACAGGAGGGCAGGACCUUCCUGCCAGGGAUGUCAGCCCUCUCUUCUCCCAGGCUCAGACCAUCAGCAGUGCUGAAUGUGGCUACAGUGAUUUGAUGCAAGCAGGGACUUGUAAAAAGCUUGCGAGUUGGACCUUGCUGUGUUGCUGCUUUGAUGCCCUGUAACUACCACCAGCAUCAUGAACCUUACUGGGUGCCGUCUUAAAACAUUACCCUGGGGAUGUUUACUUCACGUCAAGAUACCUGAGAUUAUCGUUGGAGACCACCAGGCUCACCUCAGGGUGUUUCUUCUCAGCAAGAUGGCAAUCUUAGUAAGCUUUGAAGGCCUAUCAUGGAACCAAUGAUAUGAGGAAAAUGACACGAAGCUAUGGAACCAGUCAUUAUGCAGCUCACGACAUGUUCAAAUGCAGAGGAUGCCAAGAAGAGGAUAACUGAGUCAAAUAGAACCACUAGUUUUAGCUUUUCGAGGAAUCUCAACAUUGAUUUCCACAUCAGUUGCACCAGUCUAUACUCCUACCAGCAGAGG